GUGCAGGCGCUGAUCAGCUCAGGUGGCUUGCAAGACGGGGAUGGAGACGAGCCAGGCAGCCGAGGAAAGCUCUUCACACGUGUCCAGCUGCCUUUCCACGGCUUCUGCAGCUCAAGAUGCUGCUGCGGCUGCUGGCUGGCUCCUGCCUCCGCCGCCGCUGUAAUGUAUCCCCUCUGCUGCUUGUGCCCUUUUCGAGCUGCCAGGCUGCAUCUCCCCCUCUCUCUCGUCAGUUUUCCCCAUCCCAGCUUCACGUUCAAGGUUUAACAGCGAGGUCACGUCCAUUGACGUCAGCUCGAGUCUUACUGUACGUCCGGCUGCAUUUACAUACAUCAAGGAAAUUAGGGCAUUAAAAAUAUGCAAAUCCUGCUGCUUGAAGAAGAGACUGUAGAUUCCCGGAGCGAUCGUCCCUGUUAUUGAAGAUUGUAAUUAAAGGAACAGAAACAAACCAACCCUCCCCCUCCCCCCCGCAUCCCCCCCAAAAAACAACAACAACCAAAAACCCCGAAUGACAAAUAUCUGUUAGGCACUGAGAAGAGAUUUCUGCUGCUCCGGUUCUGUGGCUGACUGAGGACGGCCGGCCUGCAGCACUGCACGGAGAAGAGAACAGGUUAGAGGAGGCUGCUCCAGACGUCUCUCUAUGCAUAAUCAGGGCUUCGCCGCUGCGCCAUUCUCCUCUCCUCCUCCUGCUGCUGCUGCUCCUGUUGGUUCCAGCGUGUAUUAUUUUUAAUACUGAUGCAUAUGUAAAGACGAGCAAAUUCCUAGCACCUUUUCUUAACCGAGGCUGGGAGCACCACUAAAUCUGUGUGCUGGCCAGCAGCCUCAGAGAGACAGAGGAGGGGAGUGAAAACGCCAGUGAUCCUGCACAGGGAGAAGAGAUUUCACAGCAACUUAGCAAGCAAACAAGACAAAAAGUUAAAGAGUGAUGGCACUAUACCUUGCCCCCGGUCACUCAGACGUGCGCUUCCCAUUUUGUACAUGAUGAAGAGUUUUGGAAACUACGUCUGAGUCCAAUGGAUUGUUUGGUUUGUGGAAUCAAAGUCCACCUAAGAGUGGCACAAGCCACUGGAUAUCCCUGAAUGCUGGAUUUUGUACCUGGAUCACUGAUUUAGCCCAAAACCGUGUAAAAACUCACUAUUGUGUACUAUUGUGUAAUCUAUACAACUGAGCAGACUCAUGUAUCUUGUUUAUUUAAGCAGGGGAAUGAUUAAAUUUGCUCUAGAUGCACUAAUUUCAGACAAAAGCAUAUACCAGUGUAUAAGACUAAAAGUUCCCAAAUUUAAUCAAAUCACAACCCCUCUUCAAAAUCUUCCAUUACAAAUGUAUUAGCCUUUUAGCAGACAGACGUUUCCUGGCACAGCUAUGGUUCUGAGCGGAUGCUGCUGCUAAAACGUUGCUAAAAUAACCCCAAACCAGUGGUGCUCCCGCUUGUUUGCUAUGCACCAGAGAUCAGAAUUGAGUUCUCAGUGUUGCGACAUCAUUGAAAAACUCAAACAAGGGGGAGAUCUUAAAGGAGGAGGCUAUUCUCUGUGCACAGAUAUUUUGGUAACUAGUAAUAAUCAGUAAAUAAUAAUAAAAUCUAUGAAAUAGCUUAACGCAACAUACUUAGGCUUAAUUAAAUAACCCGUCUGUCUGUUUAACCCAGGAUUUUCCGAUUUUUUUCCCUUAUGGACCUCAUUUUAUAAGAGACAUUGUCUUGUGGAUCAACUCCUUUCCUAAUUUCAAUUGUUCAGAUCCCCUCCCCUCCCAUUCAUGACUGGGGCAACUAUCAUUUCUUAAAGGGGGAAGUCAUAUUAGGAAAAUAUCGAAGGUCGUUUUCACCAUCUUUUCAUGCCAUUUGGCAGAUGGAAAGGAGAAGGAGAGUUCCAUCUCAUUACCAGCCAGCUCUCUGCAGAACACCAGUAAAUUGUUCUAUGGAUCAGGAUAAGAGUUGCUGGUCUAAUUUCCAAAUAUAUGGUUUCUGUAGCACACGUAGUAUCUUAGAACUUUCUUGUGCCUCCAGUUUCUAAACAGGACUCCCCAUCACAGACAAUGGGGAGUUGUGAUUAAAAUUCGAUGGCAGGUUAUAGCCCAUACUGUUUACAAAUUGCUUCUCUGGAAUGGGGUUCUUUAACCACAAGAAGUUCAGAGGUGAAUUGAUUGACACGCACACAAGCAGGAGCCCUCUAUUUCUGCUUCCUAUUAGCCUGCACAGUUAUGGGAGAUCUUCCCCCACAUCUCUGCCCUGCCCUCUAUUUUUAUCAAAAAAGAAAAACUAAUUCCAUCCGAGACCGGAACUCAGAAUAUAUUAAUGAAUGGAGAUUAUCUAUACAACAGGAAACAGACGUCUGUCAAUUAUAGAGCUCUCCUCUGGUUUCUCCCCAGAUUGUACCAAUCUUUUCCCUUUUACAAGACUACAUUGCCACUGAAAGUAAACUUCGAGUUUGUGGCAUUAGCAGAAAACUGCAAAGCCCUCUUUAGCCCUAGCCUGAUUAUAAACUGCCCCUAAUUCAAAGUCAGCUUGUCUUAAUUUUACACUGGUAAAAUACACAAAUCCUCAAUCUGAAUCCACCGUUGUUUCUUGCUAUCAUUGUUUGCCCUGUUGGAGGAGUUGGUCCCAGGGUAAUAGAGAGACAAGGUGCGGGAUGUGGUAUCUUUUAUUGGCCCAGCUUGUGUUGACUAGAGAGACAAGCUUUCCAGCUAUAUAGAGCUCUUCUUCAGGUCUGGGAAAGGUACUCAUCCCUCCUGCACUUCUCCUUUUCCCUCCUCCUGGCACUGUUGGGUCUGGAGCUGGAUGGAGGGUUUUAGUUUGUUCAUUUGUUUGUUUUUCAGAAAAAUUUAACAAACAUGAUUUUGUUUGUUCAUUUUCAUCGUUUUCAGCAGGAAAAGUUGCCUUUUAAUUGAAAAUCUGAAAACCAUUUUUUUCUGGCUUUCAGCAACUGAAAACCGUUUUUUGUCAGACAUCCCUCCAACCUUCCUCCCCAAAUCCAGCCCGAGAUGAUGGGCGGUUUCAUCUGAACAUUUUGGGGUUUUGUUUCUCUCUCUCUCUCUGGGAAAGCAGACACUUUCCAUAAACACCUUUGUUUAGUUAAAAACCCAUUUAAAAUUUUUUUUGAAGGAGAAUUUUUGACUGGCCUUAUUUGCCUCUCCAUCCACUCAACUUGGAGUGGGCUUUUCUCAUUCUCCCCCUUCUCCUCUUUAAGAUCCCUUUUCUGCAGAAUCUAAGCUUUCGUUUUUUUAAAAGUAUGUUUCUAACCCUCCUGUUGGCGAAGUUAAUAUUCCAAAUGCCAAAGGGAGAUACUGAUGCAGUGUUGUCUUCCAGAAUCUGCAGUCAGCCUCACAAAGUGACUGAGCAGUGUGAACUCCCCUCUUCCAUUCAUCUCUGUUUUUACUUGUCAGCACUCAUUAUUUCAUUGCCGAUCAUUUUAUCAGCUGGAAUAGGAGAAAGGAACGAAGCACACAGAGUGAACUGGGACUUGGGGCAGGGAAAGAAACAGAGUGGAAAGAAAAGAGGAGAGACACAGAGAUGGGGAAUGGGAAGAGAAAGAAGGGCCACAAUAAUGGUGGUUCUAAAGAUGAAAAUAUUUCCCACUGAACUAGUGUAAUAGGAUCAUCUGCCUCCAGAUUACCCUCUUGUGACCAAGGGUGCCUCCGCCAUGCCAUGCCAUGCCUCUGUUUUGCCCUUCUUCAGGGCUUCUUAAACAAACUCCAGUCUUUCUUAUCCACUCACAGCCCUUCUUGGGGUCUGGUUUUAUUAACACAAAGUUCCAAACACAAACACAUUCCUACCUCGUCUCAAGCUGACACAGCCCCUCCUCACUGAACUACUGUGCACUCCUGCUCUCUAAGCAGCUACAGAAGAUGCAAGGGCUGGCCUACCUUUUCCCAAAGGAAAAACAAACCUUUUAGCUGGGUCUUCUUACCCAUCCGCAGCUCCCUUCCUCAGGGACCACUGCCGCAGACCCUCCGUCCCUACAGCUUCACUCUGUACUUCCCUUUCUAGCUCUGUCUCACCGAGCCACCCUCUCAUCCUUCAUAGCCCAGGAACAGCUCCAUACAUGCCCCCCCCCCCCUUAAUUGGCUCAUCUGAGAGCACCUGCUCUGGCACAGCAGCUCUUUAACAUGGGCUGCGUACAGGCUGGUACCAGCUUCUUACUGGUAUGCCGUACCGGCCCGUACCGCCCCACUUUCACCCCUGAUUGUAACUCCUAUGCUGGACAAUGACUGGUGAUGUCUGUUCAGCACCCACCUGGGUGUUGGUUACCACUUCCCUUGUCAUAGUCUCUGAAGAGCUAGUAUCUAGGCGCUUCCCAAACCCACAGCAUAUUUUAGUGAAAACCAUACACCACCAUUCUUAUAAUUUUAUAUGCAUUAAUUACACACAUAUUUACAUGGAAUGAUGGGUUUCAGCAGAUUGUAACCUUUCCUCUGAUACCUCACAUGGCAUGCUUUAUAUCCAAUAUCACAUUUAUAUGUAAAUGAGGAAUAUGGGGCUUACAGGGUGCUCCACUAAGGUACAAUGUCAGAAACUCCCCUACUACUGUGUAUCAGUGCAAUACUGUAAUUGUCAUGUGCAUAAUUAUAUCAGCAUCGUAACAGCUUCACAUUCUGACCUGGAGCUGAUGUAGUAGGGUCAAUGCCCCUUCUGAGUGCUGUGUGACCUACUGGUUUAUGGCUUGAUCCUAUCUCAUUAAGGUCAAUGACAAGACUUCCAUUGAUUUCACUAGGAGCAGGACUGGGCCUUUAGCUCUUCCUGCAAACCCCUUAUAGAUAGAAAAUAUAGAAUAGGUCAUCAUGAUUUUAAGGAGUUGUUACACAAACAUUAUAAACAUUUACUACAUUUUAAAAUUAUUUAGACAUACAUAUAGAAAUCGAUGUGAUUUCCUUAUUUUACAAAGUAGGGAGUUUGAAAUGAUAGCAGGAUUUACUCUUCAAGAGCAAUAUCCAAUAUGGGAGUGGAACUCUUUCUAUGGACUGACUGGCAACAAGUAUUAAAAGUAUUCCAAAUAUUAAAAAAUAUUAAUUGAUUUUUUUCUGCUGGCAUUUAUUGCAGUGGAACACAUCGGUGUUGGUAAUAAAGGUGUGACACACAGGAGUGCUGGUAAGAAACUGAAUUCUAUUUCCUGGUCGCUGGCACCUGACAUGGAUCAGGGUUACAAACAUUUAUUACCACUGCUGUGUGACAGGAAUCAGUAUACAGUGACUUCAGUGGUUGCUGAUACUGUUACAUUGGACAGGACAAAGAUUUUGUGGGCAAGGUGAUCUGGCUAUGAAGACAGUUUCAGUAGAGUGGAGCAGGGCAGAUGUAAACUUAAGUAGCGGAGUCCAGAUGGGAGCGGGGUGAGAGGAAGAUGAGACAACAGCAGUAGAUGGCACACUCAAGAAGCAGGAUAUUUAAUACAAGAGAAUAAAAGUACAGUGAAGGGUGCAAGUGUUCAGCUGUUUAUUAGGAGAACAAAGUCUGCAUCACCUCUGACUUUGAGACAAGCUGUGAGCAACUGGCAGAGAAAGCUGUUACAGAAUGCCAAAUAUAAUGUGCUAUGAUAACCUUACAGUGACAGGAGCAAACGUGAGAAUCAAUGUUUGGACAAUUUAUGGGUUUUUUCAAAACUGGAUACAAUAUGGUGGAAAGCGGUAAAAAGCUGCCUUUACCACAAAUACAAUAUGAUGAUAGAAAGAAUAUUUCAUAUGUGGAUGUCAGCAGUCUUAAUCUGAGAGCCCAACCACCAAGUACCAUCUGAGAAAUACAGAAAUGCCCGAAAGUAUACCAAAAGGGGAUGGGAGCCAAUCAACAAGACUUCCAUCUUUUGGCAGUUUUAUCAAAUAAAUGUACAAACAAAUCAAGAUAUAAUAUGAGAGCUGUAGAAAUGAUUGUGCAAAAUGGUCAGUAAUUCUUACAGUCCAGGAAAAAUGUAUAUCACACCCAUCUCAGAAUGAUAAUUUCAUUUUUGCUGCUGAACAGUUCAAGCCCUACACCGAGAUCAAUACCUCUCCAUCAUAGUUGGUACUAAUUGACAGGGCUGGUCUCAGUUGCAGCAAAUGAAAAGGUCAGUCAUGAACACAGAUUCCAGCCCACUCCAUCCUUAGAGACAAUCCCUCCAGCUCAGGGUUGUAUUCCACCUGUGGUGGGGAAAGCUUGCAGUCCCACUGCCAAUGCUAUAUUUGUUCGGUAGAUAAAUUAAGAACUUUUGUUCGCCAAGGCUGUCGAACUAAUACUUUUCAUUAACACUAAAUUCACUUUUCAAAAUGUAGGGCAAUCUACAGGGACAAUGUGUUUGGAAGAAAAGAAAAUGUUUGAAUAUAGGGACUGGUGUCUGUCUAAAUAAGUACUUCUUUGUUUAAAACAAAUAAAUAGCAAAACCACCCUAUAUAACUGCUUCAGUUUUGUCUGUCUAACUUAGGGUGCUGUACUGCCGUCCAUUACUGUAGUAUGUGAGCAUCUUCCAUGUAAAACCAAAAGUAAUAGUGAAAUCCCUCGUGGAGUCUCUGGUAUUCUCCCCUUUUGGUGGUAAAAAAUCUGCAUGAAGUCAGUUUUGUUUUGUUUUGUGUGUUGUUGAUUUUUUAAAGAUUUAUUUGUUUCAAAUCUUUUCUGGUUGGUUUUUGGGUUGA